UGCGUAGGGUGCGAGCGUUGUCCGGAAUUAUUGGGCGUAAAGAGCUUGUAGGCGGUUUGUCGCGUCUGCUGUGAAAAUCCGGGGCUCAACCCCGGACUUGCAGUGGGUACGGGCAGGCUAGAGUGUGGUAGGGGAGACUGGAAUUCCUGGUGUAGCGGUGAAAUGCGCAGAUAUCAGGAGGAACACCGAUGGCGAAGGCAGGUCUCUGGGCCACUACUGACGCUGAGAAGCGAAAGCAUGGGGAGCGAACAGG
rnacentral:rRNA from 1 species